UGGAGGAUGGGAAGUCUAAGAUCAAGGAGCUGGCACUUGUUGACUAGGGCUUUCUUGCUGUGUUCUCACAUACAGAAGGCAAGCUAGCAGGAUGCUCCCUGAAACCUCUUUUAUUAUGGGCCUUCAUCCCAGUCCUAAGAGAAUCCUUCAUGGCCUAGUGAUCUCUUAAAGACCCCACCUCUUGAUGCUGUCACAUUGGCAACACUUGAAUUUGAGGGGACACAUACAAGCCAUAGCAAACUGAACAUUUCUCCCAUGCCAGAUAGCACCAUGUUCUUUGUCAGUAGGUGGUGGUAGAGGGGCACUGCAGGAUAAAGGGGCUUCUUUCACUUCUAAGAUGAUACUGUGACAGUUAAUUUUAUGUGUCAACUUGGCGGGGCCACAGGUGCCUAGCUACUGGGUCAUACUUUUUUUUUUUUUUUUUUUAGAGAUUUAACUUUUGCUCUGAUUUUCCAAUUAUAAGGUCAAACAUUAUUCUAGGUGUUUCUGUGAGGGUGUUUUAUAUGAGAUUGACAUUUAAAUCAAUCAGUGAACUCUGAGUAAUGCAGACUGUCCUCCUCGAUGUUAGUGGGCUUGAUCCAGUCAGGUGAAGGUCUGAAGAGAAAAAAAGACCGUCCUCUUCCCAGAACAAGAGAAUCCUCCAACAGAUACCUUUGGACUGGACCUUGCACCAUCAGCUUUCCUGGGUUUCCAGCCUCCUGCCUCACACUCCAGCUUUUGGACUUGUUAGACUUAAUAAUAACAACACAAGCCAAUCCUUUUAAGGAAGUUUGUC
rnacentral:lncRNA from 1 species